rnacentral:rRNA from 1 species
GAUGAACGCUGGCGGCGUGCUUAACACAUGCAAGUCGAGCGGAGAUAAAUUGAAAGCUUUGCUUUUAAUUUAUCUUAGCGGCGGACGGGUGAGUAACGUGUGGGCAACCUGCCUCAUACAGAGGGAUAAUCAUGUGAAAAUGUGACUAAUACCGCAUGUCGUUUCGGGAGGGCAUCCUCCUGAAAGAAAAGGAGCAAUCCGGUAUGAGAUGGGCCCGCAUCUGAUUAGCUAGUUGGUGAGAUAACAGCCCACCAAGGCGACGAUCAGUAGCCGACCUGAGAGGGUGAUCGGCCACAUUGGGACUGAGACACGGCCCAAACUCCUACGGGAGGCAGCAGUGGGGAAUAUUGCACAAUGGGGGAAACCCUGAUGCAGCAACGCCGCGUGAAGGAAGACGGUUUUCGGAUUGUAAACUUCUAUCAAUAGGGACGAAGAAAGUGACUGUACCUAAAUAAGAAGCCCCGGCUAACUACGUGCCAGCAGCCGCGGUAAUACGUAGGGGGCAAGCGUUAUCCGGAAUUACUGGGUGUAAAGGGUGAGUAGGCGGCAUGGCAAGUAAGAUGUGAAAGCCCGAGGCUUAACCUCGGGAUUGCAUUUUAAACUGCUAAGCUAGAGUACAGGAGAGGAAAGCGGAAUUCCUAGUGUAGCGGUGAAAUGCGUAGAUAUUAGGAAGAACACCAGUGGCGAAGGCGGCUUUCUGGACUGGAAACUGACGCUGAGGCACGAAAGCGUGGGGAGCGAACAGGAUUAGAUACCCUGGUAGUCCACGCCGUAAACGAUGAGUGCUAGGUGUCGGAGGGGAACCUUCGGUGCCGCAGCAAACGCAAUAAGCACUCCACCUGGGGAGUACGAUCGCAAGAUUGAAACUCAAAGGAAUUGACGGGGGCCCGCACAAGCGGUGGAGCAUGUGGUUUAAUUCGAUGAUACGCGAGGAACCUUACCCGGGCUUGAAUUGCAACUGAAUGAUGUGGAGACAUGUCAGCCGCAAGGCAGUUGUGAAGGUGCUGCAUGGUUGUCGUCAGCUCGUGCCGUGAGGUGUCGGCUUAAGUGCCAUAACGAGCGCAACCCUUAUCGAUAGUUACCAUCAGGUGAUGCUGGGGACUCUGUCGAGACUGCCGUCGUAAGAUGUGAGGAAGGUGGGGAUGACGUCAAAUCAGCACGGCCCUUACGUCCGGGGCUACACACGUGCUACAAUGGGGGGUACAGAAGGCAGCUACACGGCGACGUGAUGCUAAUCCCGAAAGCCUCUCUCAGUUUCGGAUUGGAGUCUGCAACCCGACUCCAUGAAAGCUGGAUUCGCUAGUAAUCGCGCAUUCAGCCACGGCGCGGUGAAUACGUCCCCGGGCCG